AUUGAACGCUGGCGGAAUGCUUUACACAUGCAAGUCGAACGGCAGCACGGGGCAACCUGGUGGCGAGUGGCGAACGGGUGAGUAAUACAUCGGAACGUGCCCAAUCGUGGGGGAUAACGUAGCGAAAGUUACGCUAAUACCGCAUACGAUCUACGGAUGAAAGCGGGGGAUCGCAAGACCUCGCGAGAAUGGAGCGGCCGAUGUCAGAUUAGGUAGUUGGUGGGGUAAAGGCUCACCAAGCCAACGAUCUGUAGCUGGUCUGAGAGGACGACCAGCCACACUGGGACUGAGACACGGCCCAGACUCCUACGUGAGGCAGCAGUGGGGAAUUUUGGACAAUGGGCGCAAGCCUGAUCCAGCCAUUCCGCGUGCAGGAUGAAGGCCUUCGGGUUGUAAACUGCUUUUGUACGGAACGAAACGGUUCUCUCUAAUACAGGGGGCUAAUGACGGUACCGUAAGAAUAAGCACCGGCUAACUACGUGCCAGCCGCCGCGGUAACAC
rnacentral:rRNA from 1 species